CAAAUACAAACUAGUUUGUACUUGAGGUCAAAAAUAUCAUGUCAGUACAAGCAAGCAUAUCAGGAAUCUGACAUUAGCAUUCGCUGUGAAGAAAGCGCACUUUCAGGCAUCAAUAGAACACAAACAAAUAAAUACAAGCGGUGAUUGCCUUCAUAUUUACAGCUGAACAAGAUUAUUAAACUAAAAUGUUACUGAUCAGACAGGCUUUCUUCUUGGAACCUUCAUCCCAAAUCCUCGCUUCAGCUUCUGGACCGUAGGGGCGAGUUCACCAAGGCUGUUUAGCUCUUUAGCAGAGUCUUUUUCAAGAACUCUCCCUGAAAUUCCAACAGUAUAGAACUUAUUCCUUGUGGUUGGUAGUCCUCUACUGGCAAGUAGAUCUAAAUCUUUCUGAUGAAGUUC
rnacentral:misc_RNA from 1 species